UAUUUAAUACUUAAAAAUAAUCAAAAUUUAUAUUCUGAUUUUUUUCAAGCUUUCAUAAAAACUAAAAUGAAGCAUUAAAGAUAAAAAAACAUAUAAAAUUAAAAAAAAAAAAACCCUUUAUUAUUACUAUAAAUAAUUCAAAAACAUCUAAAAAGAUGGUUAUUAUAUUAAUAAACUUAAUAAAACCUAUAUACUGAAUUCUUUUUAUAUAAAAUUUUAAAAUAAUAAUUUAAAAUAUUAUUAAAUAA
rnacentral:tRNA from 1 species